GAAUGAGACGCGAGAGAAAGUCAUGGGAGCACAUUAUUGUACCCAGAGAUUAUGCACCCAAUCGAUCCACAGUUUGAUCUUCCUUUUUUUACGAAUUUUACCCAGGAAUUCCCUUGCGAGUGAGUGGUUUCUUUAGUGAUUGUUUAGAGGAGAAACAACACGGUCGGGCAAUCAUCCUCUUAAAGGAAAUGCCGCGAGAGGUAGCUCUGGGCUCUCAUAAUUUAUGAAGGCUGGGUUUUAGGGCGCCACAAGGCGGCUCUCUUUCAUUCCCGGGGAGAGGAGGAGCGCCAAUCCAGCGCCCGCUAGGCUUCCCACAAGCGCGCGAUCCGGGAGAAUGCGUGGGGGAUUGGCGGCGCGCAUUUAGGUAGAUCCAGGGAUGGAUCGCGCGCGCGGACAGGGUUUUAGCUAGAUAGUAGCGCAGCGUGAGAGAAUUUUGGUCUUUUUUGUAGCGAGCGAGCAAGAGCAAGAGCAAGAGCAAAAUGGGGAAUGGACUGGCGAGGAUGGUGUCGGGCAAAGGGAAGAAGAACUCGUCCUCUUCUUCCUCGGCCAAGAAGGACAAGGCGGCUCGGAAGGCGGCGCAGAAGAAGCAAAAGGCGCUCGAGGAGGAGCUGAUCGAGCGCCAGGUGCUGGCGUUUGCGCUGCAGCAGCAGCAGAAAUCCAUCCGGCUGGAGCGCGCCGCGUCGCAGCGCAACAAUCCCAACUUGUUCCCGGAGAGGCUCCCGCGGAGCGCCAGCACCAGGCCGCGCUCCAUCUCGGAUCCGGUCGUGCCGCCACACCAGCUCGUCAAUGGGAUCAAGCCAGGUCUCCCUGACAAUCUCGAGAGCAAGCACUUUGUGCUGGUUCACGGAGCCGGGAAUGGAGCGUGGUGCUGGUACAAAUCCAUCGCGUUGCUGGAGGAGUCUGGCUUCACUGCCUCAACCGUGGAUCUCACUGGCUCCGGCAUCGAUCACACCGAUCCAAACACAAUCUCGACGCUCUCACAGUACGUAAAGCCGCUGCUCUCGCUCCUGGAAAAGCUUCCAGACAAUGAGAAGGUGAUACUCGUUGGCCACGACUUUGGUGGCGCUUGCAUCUCCUACGCCAUGGAAGCUUUCCCCACCAAAAUCUGCAAGGCUGUUUUCGUCUCUGCGGCAAUGGUGGCGAACGGGCAGAGGGCGUCCGACAUCUUUGCUCCAGAGUUAAUCACUGCAGACGAUCUUCUACCCAAGGCUCAACAGUUUGUAUACGCGAACGGUAGCUCGUCUGUUCCCACGGCUCUCGAGUUUGACAAAAGCCUGAUCAAGGAUUUGUUUUUCAACCAAAGCCCCGCAAAGGACGUAGCACUGGCGACCGUUUCUCUGAGGCCCGUGCCAUUUGCUCCAACCCUGGAGAGGCUGUGCCUAACACAGGAAAGAUAUGGUAGCGUGCGGAGAUUUUUCAUCCAGACAACCGACGAUUGCGCACUAACGCCGGCCCUCCAAGAGAGACUGAUAAGCAGCAACCCCCCCGAGAAGGUAUUUCUUCUCAAAGGCAGCGAUCACUCCCCAUUCUUCUCCAAGCCACAGUCACUCCACAAACUUUUACUCGAGAUUGCACAGAUAGAGCCACUCAAACCAUCGUCCCCUUCACCUCCUCUCCCUCCUCCCCCUCCCUCGUUACAGGACACAGAAGAGCAACAACAGCGUUGAAAACAGAAAUAUCUACAUAUAGUUGUAUAUGAUCGACUGUACAACGAGUUUCUAUCAUCAACCGAGAGACAAAUGUUUUGGAAGUGAAGAAGUUUGCUGUUCUUGCGGCGAAGUCAAUACAUCAAAGCGUCUAACCAGUGAGUCUCUUUCGAACAGUGACACUAUAAAGCUUUGCGGUUCUCAUGGACAAUAUCACAACGGCUGCAAACAAGCACACUCCAGCCAUGACGAAGAAGGUUGCUCUGUAGCAAUGCGAUCGAUGGCAAAGAAGCUCGUCAUCUCUCGAUCCAAGCUUACUCUCGCGAUCGUAUAAAACUCCGGCCACACGGACGACAAAACAUACGUUCCCAGCGCCUUGGCGACGUAAGUUACGUUUUGGAGCUGGAAGCUGAGCCCGAAGAUCUCCGCUAUCAUGGUCUAGACCACUGCCCACCGAUUGACAGCCCGAUCAAAACCGAGCCGUAGAAGAGCGCUCCGGGAAGUCCAAGAGCGAUUAUCAAGCUCCCAAGGGAGUGAAGCAAGAGAACCAGGCACAGGAAGAAGGGCCUUGAGACGCCAUAGCUGGCGAGGCACGUAUCCGAGAUGAAGCUGCAGCCAACGCCACGUAUGAAGUCCCAGAUACUGAGCAGCGCGAUGAAAGUGUUUGUUCCGGCCUGGGAGUACCCCAGGGACGAUCCAAUCUGGCCGAAAUUGUUGGUCACCGUGAGCACAGCGCCAAUGCCACACGUUGACGCUGCAAAAAUGAGAAGCACGUCGAUGCUACA